ensembl:lncRNA
GUCGAGAUCUAGAGGGGUCUGUGGAGAUGGACUGAAGAGGAGGUCGAGAUCUAGAGGGGUCUGUGGAGAUGGACUGAAGAGGAGGUCGAGAUCUAGAGGGGUCUGUGGAGAUGGACUGAAGAGGAGGUCGAGAUCUAGAGGGGUCUGUGGAGAUGGACUGAAGAGGAGGUCGAGAUCUAGAGGGGUCUGUGGAGAUGGACUGAAGAGGAGGUCGAGAUCUAGAGGGGUCUGUGGAGAUGGACUGAAGAGGAGGUCGAGAUCUAGAGGGGUCUGUGGAGAUGGACUGAAGAGUUCCUAACUCAGCGUUAAUGUAAUAUUAUUCAGCAUUUUAUUUUGUGUUCAAAUACUUUAAGACUUUAAGCUCACCAGUAACUAUGCAGAUAGUUAGUAGAACCAGGUCAAAUGGGUUGAUCUGGGGUGAGUGGAUCUGGGGUUAGUUGAUCUGGGGUUAGUGAGGCUAGUGGAUCUGGGGUUAGUGAGGUUAGUGGAUCUGGGGUUAGUUAAUCUUGGGUAGGUGGAUCUGGUGUUAGUGAGGUUAGUUGAUCUGGGGUUAGUGAGGUUAGUGGAUCUGAGGUUAGUUGAUCUGGGUUGAGUGAGGUAAGUAGAUCUCGGCUUAGUGAGGUGAGUUGAUCUGGGGUAUAGCACCUCAGAUCAACCCAUUUGAAAGACGCUUGCCUUAAAUAUUGCCUGGCCUUUAAGUUGAGUACUUGUAUAUUUCUGGGAUGGUUUCUAUAUCUGGAGACUAGCAGCGAGACAACGGUGACACACGUUUUCAUAAAUCAUCUUUCCUUCAUUCAUAAUUUUUUCUUCAAACCACUUAUCCUUAAUCUAGAUUAAUAUAAUGCGAGCGAAGAUUUCAUAAGAGCUGUUUGCAUGUUUUGUAAGGCAUUUUAUACAAAUAAAAACGUUGGUUAUUCCUAUAUUCACAUCCCCAUCUUUCUAAGUUUGGAGGUCAUGUAACAGUUACUGAACUGCAUUCUUUGAACAUGGAGCUGUGAAUUAUUUUGAGGAUUUUCAUAUCUAUCUUAAGAUUCCUGAAUACCUUAAGAGUCUUUAAUAUGUAGGAGGUACUUCAUAGUAUUGUUCUAAACAUAAUAUUUCAAAGAACCAUUUUAUAUUGCACAGAGUUGAAAAUCAAAAGCAUUCUGAAUAGGAUGUCAUUGCUUCAAUAAAAUACUUAAGCUUAC